rnacentral:rRNA from 1 species
UACGUAGGUGGCAAGCGAUACUCGGAAUCACUAGGCGUAAAGCGCAGGUAGGCGGUUCGGUAAGUCUUUUGUGAAAGCUCCCGGCUCAACUGGGAGAGGCCAAGGGAAACUACCGGACUAGAGUGUGGUAGGGGAUACUGGAAUUCCUGGUGUAGCGGUGGAAUGCGCAGAUAUCAGGAGGAACACUGGUGGCGAAGGCGGGUCUCUGGGCAGUAACUGACGCUGAGGAGCGAAAGUGUGGGGAGCGAACAGG